ACUUGGCUUCUUCCAGGGCACACAGAGCAGGAAAGAAGACAAGCCACACAACAAACAAGAAGAGGGUGCAGGAAGUUAAUGAACCAAAUGCAAAGUCAGCAUGUGGGCACACAGCUGAGAUGAGGCCUCAGUCCUGUGUGGGUCAACUCGGGCACUUACUGCUUAUUAUGUUCAAGCAGCGAAGGAACUCAGUGCUGUUAGGGAGAUCAAUCAGAAUGCAACUCUUUGAAGGAAUGAAACUACAUCUUAUCCCCAGAACCUAAAACAGUGCCAAGUACAUGACCAUCAACAUUGAUUCUCUGUCAUGAGUAAAAACACCUGACAAGAGUACUUUGAUGGAUUAAGGAGCCUAAUUAUCAUGAGACACUGUCUAUACCUCCAGUGAGUCUGGCUUCAUAGGACAAAAACUAUACUAGGAAGGACAACAGACUAUGUUCUAGUCCUAAAUCACUGUAUUUAAUCUCCACUGCUUCAAGACAAACUGAAGGAAAGACUUUGCAAACAUCUAUUUUUUAUUCUUAAGGACAGCCAUUGCUCUUCUUAUUUUAAAAAUGGACAAAGUCAGACUGUGAAUGAGAGAAUCCAAGACCAGAUCUGUUUAACUAUAAAAUCCCUGAACUUCA